UGUUUUCCUUGGGGACGGGUGCAAUUCCCUACCGGCGGUACAGCCCGCGAGCCCUUCGGGGCAGAUCCGGUGUGAUUCCGGGGCCGACAGUGAUAGUCUGGAUGGGAAGGGGAAACG
rnacentral:ncRNA from 2 species